rnacentral:rRNA from 1 species
GACGAACGCUGGCGGCGUGCCUAAUACAUGCAAGUAGGACGCAGUUGCGAACGGGUGAGUAACGCGUAGGUAACUACCUAUUAGAGGGGGAUAACUAUUGGAAACGAUAGCUAAUACCGCAUACUGGUAGGUGGACCUGCGUUGUAUUGGCUAGUAGGUGGGGUAAUGGGCUAACUAGGCAAUGAUACAUAGCCGACCGGAGGAGGAGAACGGCCAAACAGGGACUGAGAAACGGCCCAGACUUCCACGGGAGGCAGCAGUAGGGAAUCUUCGGCAAUGGGGGGAAACCUGACCGAGCAACGCCGCGGUAGUGAAGAAGGGUUUCGGAUCGUAAAGCUCUGUUGUUAGGGAAGCGGUACUUAACCAGAAAGGGACGGCUAACUACGUGCCAGCAGCCGCGGUAAUAC